rnacentral:rRNA from 1 species
GACGAACGCUGGCGGCGUGCUUAACACAUGCAAGUCGAGCGGUAAGGCCCUUUCGGGGGUACACGAGCGGCGAACGGGUGAGUAACACGUGGGUGACCUGCCCUCAGCUCUGGGAUAAGCCUGGGAAACCGGGUCUAAUACUGGAUAUGACUCCAUGACGCAUGUUGUGGGGUGGAAAGCCUUGUGCGGCUGAGGAUGGGCCCGCGGCCUAUCAGCUUGUUGGUGGGGNGAUGGCCUACCAAGGCGACGACGGGUAGCCGGCCUGAGAGGACGACCAGCCACACUGGGACUGAGACACGGCCCAGACUCCUACGGGAGGCAGCAGUGGGGAAUCUUGCGCAAUGGGCGAAAGCCUGACGCAGCGACGCCGCGUGAGGGAUGACGGCCU